GGAGAUGGAGACCUUGAUCGUGGAGUAGGUUGUGGUGGAGAUGAUGGUCUGGAUGUUUGAGGAGAUGUUUGCUGCUGUGGAUUUGUGGAGAGUGGUCUUGAGCUUUGAGGAGGUGCCUCCACGCCGGGGAUGAUGAUGUAGCGUUUGCGCCAUAGAAUGACCCCGUGAACCACUUCUCUUAGUCUUGUUGACCCGUCGCCUGCUGGGAAGUCGAGCUCUAGACCUUCAAAUUGGCUAUUAGGGAUUGUCUCUACGCUAACACUAGCA
rnacentral:lncRNA from 1 species